rnacentral:rRNA from 1 species
GAUGAACGCUAGCGAUAGGCCUAACACAUGCAAGUCGAGGGGCAUCACAUGAAGUAGCAAUACGGAUGGUGGCGACCGGCGCACGGGUGAGUAACACGUAUGCAACCUGCCUUCAACAAGGGGAUAACCCGUUGAAAGACGGACUAAUACCCUAUAACACAGGGGUCCCGCAUGGGAAUAUUUGUUAAAGGACAACCGGUUGAAGAUGGGCAUGCGUUCCAUUAGCUAGUUGGCGGGUAACGGCCCACCAAGGCAACGAUGGAUAGGGGAACUGAGAGGUUUAUCCCCCACACUGGUACUGAGACACGGACCAGACUCCUACGGGAGGCAGCAGUGAGGAAUAUUGGUCAAUGGACGCAAGUCUGAACCAGCCACGUCGCGUGAAGGAAGACGGCCCUACGGGUUGUAAACUUCUUUUAACGGGAAUAAAGUGCCCCACGCGUGGGGUUUUGCAUGUACCGUAUGAAUAAGGAUCGGCUAA